rnacentral:rRNA from 1 species
GAUGAACGCUAGCGGCGUGCCUAACACAUGCAAGUCGAGCGAAGCACUUUGCUUAGAUUCUUCGGAUGAAGAGGAUUGUGACUGAGCGGCGGACGGGUGAGUAACGCGUGGGUAACCUGCCUCAUACAGGGGGAUAACAGUUAGACAUGACUGCUAAUACCGCAUAAGACCACAGCACCGCAUGGUGCGGGGGUAAAAACUCCGGUGGUAUGAGAUGGACCCGCGUCUGAUUAGCUAGUUGGUAAGGUAACGGCUUGCCAAGGCGACUAUCAGUAGCCGACCUGACAGGGUGACCGGCCAUAUUGGGACUGAGACACGGCCCAAGCAACUUCGGGAGGCAGCAGUGGGGAAUAUCCCACAAUGGGGCCAAACUUGGUGUAGCAACGACGUGUG